UCCUUCUUAGCCCAGUCGGUAGAGCACGUCACUAGUAUAAUACGGGUCUGUUUGUAACCUAGGUUUAUUGACGAGGUUAGUUGUUCGAGUCGACUAGAAGGAA